rfam:Robinsoniella sp. RHS robin_c171, whole genome shotgun sequence.
UUAUUUGAGAGUUUGAUCCUGGCUCAGGAUGAACGCUGGCGGCGUGCUUAACACAUGCAAGUCGAGCGAAGCAUUAAAACAGAUUUCUUCGGAAUGAAGUUUUGAUGACUGAGCGGCGGACGGGUGAGUAACGCGUGGGUGACCUGCCUCAUACAGGGGGAUAACAGACAGAAAUGUCUGCUAAUACCGCAUAAGCGCACAGUGCUGCAUGGCACAGUGUGAAAAACUCCGGUGGUAUGAGAUGGACCCGCGUCUGAUUAGCUAGUUGGUAAGGUAACGGCUUACCAAGGCGACGAUCAGUAGCCGGCCUGAGA